rnacentral:sRNA from 1 species
CACCCAACAUGAGGGAUAACUCCACUUCUUAUGUAUUUUGCAAUUGGCGAACCACAGGGCUCUUUCUCCUUUGUUCAUGCAGCCACCAUACGGCCCGCCUGAGCUAAAACAUGUGGUUCUCUCAAGGAUGAUGAACAUUUCUAAAGGUGGAGCUGGAUAUUGGAUAUAAGAUGCCCGCUUCUGGUGAUCUCUUUCUAUUGCACCAAACACCAACACAAGGACUAAAUUCUUGUAUAUUGACUUUGAUUGCCUUUUAUUCUAUUUCUUUAUUUUCAGGCCAAAGAGUGCUCUUCUGUUCAGACAAUGCACAGAGAAAGACAGCGAUACAGUGCUGAGUGGCAGAAAAUGAUGCCUUCUUCAAUCACCACCGACGACCAUCGCCAUCACAAUGCUUCACUGUUUGCCGAUGAUGACCACCAAUGUUAUGAAUCACCCCAGAACCUCUCAGAGAAAGUGUUGUUGUCGUCUUUUUUCUCGAGACAGGAACACGGUACUUCAAAUCACAAACCUCCAAACAUCAACUGCUGUUCCUCAUCAUCCAUUUCGUCCAAAAACCCCUUAGCACACCCGAGCCAUUACUGCCCCGUACAGGCUAUCGAUGAUCUGAUAUCAUCCUUGUCGAGAGACCUAAGCAGAGCGCGAAGCUGCACACUCGUGCCAUCUGUGACUUCCGCUGGCACUUUACCAUCGUCAUCGAGUGUUAUUCGUCCCAAGCAGCCUAGACGUGCGAGAAACAAGACCAUCUCCGGUCGUUUAACAUCCCCUUCAUCGGAGUGGUUAAACUUGACGAGCUCACGACAAAGCAUCGCGCCAUUUUCUCAAGUUGCUACAAAUCCACGCUCCUUCGUAGUGUUGAGGAGGCAAGCUAGCCGGAAAGGCACUGAUCCUCGGGCUUGCAGCUCCACUAUGGCAGAUCCAUCUGCAGCGGUUGGGGCACAUCCUGCCAUUGGCUCAAGCCAAAAACCCACAGUAACAGCUUUGGCUGGGAGCGCUGCAGACGGAAUUCCAGAGGUCACGGUUAAUGCCUUUGGGACAACUUACAACUUGCGUCGCUGUAUUCUGGAAAGGAGUCCUUACUUUUCUGCGAUGCUUUCCGGCCAAUGGAGUGAGAAUAGCGAACGUGGCAUUUCAAUCUUCCCCGGUGAGAUGGACCCAAACAUCACGAAAGUAGGCUUUGAAGUUGCUUUAGAGUAUAUGUACGGUCGAAACGUCAUGGACUUGAUUGAAUUGGAUCCUAUAGGGAUAUUCGCAUCUUGUCAAUGGUU